AGGUGUCUUGGCUAAGGUGUCUUGGCUAAUGUGUCUUGGCUAAUGUGUUUUGGCUAAGGUGUCUUGGCUAAAGUGUCUUGGAUAAUGUGUCUUGGCUAAGGUGUCUUGGCUAAUGUGUCUUGGCUAAUGUGUCUUGGCUGAGGUGUCUUGGCUAAUGUGUCUUGGCUUAUGUGUCUUGGCUAAUGUGUGUUGGCUAAUGUGUCUUGGCUAAGGUGUCUUGGCUAAGGUGUCUUGGCUUAUGUGUCUUGGCUAAGGUGUCUUGGCUAAUGUGUCUUGGCUAAGGUGUCUUGGCUCAUGUGUCUUGGCUAAUGUGUCUUGGCUAAGGUGUUUUGGCUAAGGUGUCUUGGCUAAUGUCUCUCGGCUAAUGUGUCUUGGC